GACGAACGCUGGCGGCGUGCCUAAAACAUGCAAGUCGAACGGUGUAGCAAUACACAGUGGCGAACGGCGGAGUAAUACAUGAACAACGUGCCCUAAAGACUGGGAUAGUCAUUGGAAACGAUGGGUAAUACCAGAUGUGACGGAUCUUCGGCAUCUUAGAUCCAUUAAACGGUUUUUCGCUUAGGUAGCGGUUCAUGGCCUAUCAGGUAGUUGGUGAGGUAAUGGCUCACCAAGCCGACGACGGGUAGCGGGUCUGAGAGGAUGAUCCGCUCGAGUGGGACUGAGACACGGCCCACACACCUACGGGUGGCAGCAGUUGGGAAUCUUGCACAAUGGGGGAAACCCUGAUGCAGCGACGCCGCGUGGAGGAUGAAGG
rnacentral:rRNA from 1 species